GACUCUGGUGACCAACAGGGCCUUUUUGGUGCUUACCACGAUGAGGCCUGCUUCUCCCUGAGCAUUCUCUUCACCCUCAAGGACACAGCCACAAGCAGCUUGUGAGAGUUCUUCCAAGAUAACAAGAAUAUAAAGAACCUCAAAGAUCUUGGCAAACCAAGAAAGUCAAGAGGUCAGCAGGAGGUUUAGAAGGAUACUGAGAACUCUAGUAACUCUUCUCCCCUUUCGGGAAAGGAUGCUCUGUUUUUCGGUCAAUGGGGGUCUCUAGGAGGGUAAGUGUCUGUGAGUCCCUUCCCCAGGUCCCGCAGUACUCCUGUCUUCUGGUGGGCUCCCUCCCAAACCCUCCCAUCUUCCCAGGUUGCUUCCUUUCCUUCCCUUCCCUUCCCUUCCUUUUUGAUUCCCUUUGUGUUCUCCCAUCCCCUCAAAC
rnacentral:lncRNA from 1 species